AUAGAAGUCUAUAUUAUCGUAAAAAAAGAUUUUAUACCUAUCUAACUCAUUAUUUCAUACUUGUACAAAACUUUUUAUAGUGUGGUGUUGUGUUUUAAAUCGUAAGAAAUCAAAUUGUAAAAAUACAAAUAUAAAACUAUUUUUUUCUUUACCAACAAAUGAAAAUAGGAUUUUCCUCGAUUUUUUACAUGUUAUUGUUAAUAUGUACUUAGAAUGUAUCCAAUCAACAGUAUAAUAAAUCAAUGAUUGAAAAAAUGAAGACAAUAAUAAUUGGCAACUGUUUUUUGUUCAAAAUUCGAUUGUCUGCACAGCCAUCGAUGCGAUACGUAUACCAUCUACAUAAUCAUGAAAUUUAAGCGGACAAGCUUAAGUAACACAAAUAAGGUGUUCGUAUAUAAUAUAAGUCACGCCGAGGACUGCCGAUUUUUUUCCGUCAAUUACACGAUCGCCGCACGUCGCACGGUUAAUGUAUCAUAAAAAAAUGUAAUAUAUUAUAAUACGAUAUUAUAGUUGAUGAGCUGUAUACAUAUUAUAUAAAAUGACAAGAGGACUUUCAAGAUUCAAAAGAGGUAUAGGUAACAGUCAGAUUUAAGAUAUUUGAUGCCUGAGGCCAAUAAAAAUGCAGCUCCCUUACAUAUAAUAUGGAGCUAUGCGAUGGGCCGAGUGUCACAUAAAACAUAAUGUAUAAAUACAAAUCAAAAAGUAAGCUAAGUAUAUUUUUAUAUCACAAAUAUUUUAACUGAAAUCAUUGUCUUAAUAUAUAUUUAUAUACUGUAUAGUAUCUAUAGGCUAUAGAACAUCUCAAUAGUAUGCUUAAACAUAAAUUAAAAAUCUCUUUAUAUUAAUUUAGUGGAAAAAUAAUGUUUCUGAAAAAUUGGAAAUUUAAAUUAUAUUAUCGUACUUCAAUUUAACAAUAAGAUAAUAUACAAUUAUCAUCGGUAAUCGACCGAUAAAUUGAUAAAGACUUAUCAAAUACCUAUUUAAAAGAUGUCAAUAACUCCGAAAAAAAUAGUCUACAUUAAAUACUUAUUAAAUAAGUAAUUUGUUAUAUUAUUUUUUUUUUUUUGUCAAUGGAGGUUUGGAAGUAUGUUAUCAUUUAUCCAUAUUUUAUGUUCAUGGAUUUUUUUUUUACAUAAUCUCAAGAGCGCGCCCUCAUACCAACAGCACCUUGGGCAAGGAUACCCACUAGCUCCCCCCUAGAUCCGUACAGUGACAGUGUUCGAAUAAGCUUCUGGUCAGAUUAUCGUCACCCGGUGAUGAGUCGAUAAUCGGUCUUGAAAAAAAGAUUAAUAAUCGACGCGCCGUCGAGAAAACCUUGUCAAACUCGACUGCAAAAUUGGUUCGUAUAUAUGCAGUGCACAACACACUGCAACAACAAUAAUGGACCCCCGGCCGGGUUUUAAUGUCGUUAAUUAUUACGUCUCUCGUACUCAACAACAUAAUAUGUAUAUAUAUAUAAUAUACUUUACGUAAAAACACACGUGCACCGGUUGUUAUUGGUAUGUGUGUAUACGCGUAUGUGACUCAAACGUGGCUGUGGUAUGUGCAUUGAACGCGAAAUAAAAUGUGUACCGGGAACCCUGGAAAAAAGGGGUAAACCGCAUCUGAUGGUAAUUAAUCGUCAGCCAUCCAACGUAUGAAUCCAUAUGAUAGUUUGAUAUAUUAACAUUAUGAUAUUAAAAUAUUUUAAUACGAUGUAGCUAUAUAAUAUGUAGUGUAUAUUAUGAUAAAAAUAUUAAAUACGACUGCGACCGUAUUCAAAUAUUACUAUAAUAUUUUACAUAUAAUUGACGUUCAUCCUUGUACGGUUAUGAUAUCUGCGAAGCAACUUCACGAAUAACCAUUGCUAAAAUAUUAACGUAAUAUAUUAUAUUUAUAUUAUGUAUAAUAUAGUAUACACAUUGUACCCAUGACCAUGUUAUGGUCUUUUAACUUUUUCUUUUCUUUUAGUGACUUGGUUUGAAGUUUAAAUGCCAAGUUUGUUGAGUUACACUGAUAAAACUUCAAUGAAAUAUGCAAUUUAAAAUUAAAGUAAUGCGAUAUUUACAAAAAGUAUUUAAGAAUCACUUAA